rnacentral:rRNA from 1 species
AAUGAACGCUGGCGGCGUGCUUAACACAUGCAAGUCGAACGAGAACGGGAUUGCUUGCAAUCCUUAGUAGAGUGGCGCACGGGUGAGUAACACGUAGAUAAUCUACCUUCAAAACUGGAAUAACUGUUCGAAAGGGCAGCUAAUACCGGAUAAAGUUUAUACACAUAAGUGUAUUUAUGGAAGAUUGCCUCUUCUUGAAAGCAAUUGUUUGGAGAUGAGUCUGCGGACCAUUAGCUUGUUGGUGGGGUAAAGGCCUACCAAGGCUGCGAUGGUUAGCUGGUCUGAGAGGAUGAUCAGCCACACUGGAACUGACACACGGUCCAG